rnacentral:rRNA from 1 species
AUGCAUGUCUAAGUACGGCUCUAGUACGGUGAAACUGCGAAUGGCUCAUUAAAUCAGUUUUGGUUCAUUUGAUCGUAAAAGUUUACAUGGAUAACUGUUGUAAUUCAAGAGCUAAUACAUGCUAAGAGCGUUGCUUUUUAAGUGACGUGCUUUUAUCAGAACAAAACCAAUCACCUUCGGGUGUUCCAAUGUGGCGAGUCUGGAUAAUUUAGCUGAUCGCAUGGUCUUAGAACCGGCGAUGGAUCAUUCAAGUGUCUGACCUAUCAACUGUCGAUGGUAGCGUAUUGGUCUACCAUGGUUGUAACGGGUAACGGAGAAUUAGGGUUUGGUUCCGGAGAGGGAGCCUGAGAAACGGCUACCACA